rnacentral:lncRNA from 1 species
CCCUCUUCCUGUCACCAGCCUUUCCUCAGCAUCCACAGGUGACACCACCCCUCUUCCUGUCACUGACACUUCCUCAGCAUCCACAGGUCACGCCACCUCUCUUCCUGUCACCGACACUUCCUCAGUAUCCACAGGUCACACCACCCCUCUUCCUGUCACCGACACUUCCUCAGCAUCCACAGGCCACCCCUCUUCCUGUCACCAGCCUUUCCUCAGUAUCCACAGGUGACACCACGCCUCUUCCUGUCACUAGCCCUUCCUCAGCAUCCACAGGCCACCCCUCUUCCUGUCACCAGCCUUUCCUCAGUAUCCACAGGUCACACCACCCCUCUUCCUGUCACCGACACUUCCUCAGCAUCCACAGGUCAGGCCACCUCUCUUCUUGUCACCGACACUUCCUCAGUAUCCACAGGUGACACCACGCCUCUUCCUGUCACUAGCCCUUCCUCAGCAUCCACAGGUCACGCCACUCCUCUUCUUGUCACCGACGCUUCCUCAGCAUCCACAGGUCAGGCCACCCCUCUUCCUGUCACCAGCCUUUCCUCAGUAUCCACAGGUGACACCACGCCUCUUCCUGUCACUAGCCCUUCCUCAGCAUCCACCGGUCAUGCCACCUCUCUUCCUGUCACCGACACUUCCUCAGCAUCCACAGGUGACACCACCUCUCUUCCUGUCACCGACACUUCCUCAGCAUACACAGGUGACACCACCUCUCUUCCUGUCACCGACACUUCCUCAUCAUCCACAGGUGACACCACCCCUCUUCUUGUCACCGAGACUUCCUCAGUAUCCACAGGUGACACCACCCCUGUGCCUGUCACCGACACUUCCUCAGUAUCCACAGGUCACGCCACCCCUCUUCCUGUCACCGGCCUUUCCUCAGCUUCCACAGGUGACACCACCCGUCUUCCUGUCACCGACAUUUCCUCGGCAUCCACAGGUCAGGCCACCCCUCUUCCUGUCACCAACACUUCCUCAGUAUCCACAGGUGACACCAUGCCUCUUCCUGUCACUAGCCCUUCCUCAGCAUCCACAGGUCACGCCACCCCUCUUCCUGUCACC